rnacentral:rRNA from 1 species
CCUACGGGAGGCUGCAGUGGGGAAUUUUGGACAAUGGGGGCAACCCUGAUCCAGCCAUUCCGCGUGAGUGAAGAAGGCCUUCGGGUUGUAAAGCUCUUUCGGCCGGGAAGAAAUCGCAUCUCCUAAUACGGGGUGUGGAUGACGGUACCGGAAGAAGAAGCACCGGCUAACUACGUGCCAGCAGCCGCGGUAAUACGUAGGGUGCGCGCGUUAUUCGGAAUUACUGGGCGUAACGCUAAGGCAGAUGGCAAAUCCCCGGGCGUAACCUGGGAACUGCGUGUGUGACUGGUGGGCUUGAGUGCGGCAGAGGGAGGUGGAAUUCCACGUGUAGCAGUGAAAUGCGUAGAGAUGUGGAGGAACACCGAUGGCGAAGGCAGCCCCCUGGGUCGAAACUGACGCUCAUGCACGAAAGCGUGGGGAGCAAACAGGAUUAGAUACCCUUGUAGUA